UGCACUCGCGUGGGAACGAGAAGACACUCGU
rnacentral:piRNA from 1 species